rnacentral:rRNA from 1 species
UAGGGAAUCUUCGGCAAUGGACGAAAGUCUGACCGAGCAACGCCGCGUGAGUGAAGAAGGUUUUCGGAUCGUAAAACUCUGUUGUUAGAGAAGAACAAGGACGUUAGUAACUGAACGUCCCCUGACGGUAUCUAACCAGAAAGCCACGGCUAACUACGUGCCAGCAGCCGCGGUAAUACGUAGGUGGCAAGCGUUGUCCGGAUUUAUUGGGCGUAAAGCGAGCGCAGGCGGUUUCUUAAGUCUGAUGUGAAAGCCCCCGGCUCAACCGGGGAGGGUCAUUGGAAACUGGGAGACUUGAGUGCAGAAGAUGAGCGUGGAAUUCCAUGUGUAGCGGUGAAAUGCGUAGCUAUAUGGAGGAACACCAGUGGCGAAGGCGGCUCUCUGGUCUGUAUCUGACGCUGAGGCUCGAAAGCGUGGGGAGCAAACAGG